CUCAGUUUCCUCAUUGGUGAAAUGUGAUCAUGAGGGUGACUUCCAAUUGGAUUGGUGUGAAGGUUAAAGGAGAUAAUAGGGAAGUGCUUAGGAGAGGGGCCCGCCGUGGUGGUGUCCAUGUGCGUGUCACACCCACUCUGUGCAGUGAUCCUGCGCAGAGAAGGUGACCUCCCAGACCUGCUCCACCCUUGCAGUCACCCUGCCAGGCAGUGCUUCACACCUCACUUCACAGAUGGGAGACUCGCAGGGUGGGUUUGGAGGUCGCCCAGAGUCUCACAGCUGGUGAGGGGUGGUGUCGGGACUGGAACCCAGGCCAGGCUGACUCAGACGGCCCUGGAGUCCCCCCGUGGACAGGGCAGGCUGUGACUCUGCAGGAACGUGGGCAGGCGUGUAGGCCUCUCCACAGCCUGGCAGCCCUGGCACAAGCCUACUUCAGCUCCAGUCCCGGCUUCACUAGGAGGAGCUCAGAAAAGGACGGUUGCAUGAAUGAGCAGAGCCCUGGCCCAGGGCCCCUUCCAGAGCCAGGGCCAGCCCUCUUGGCAUUCUUCCAACAAUGCUGAGUCCUGAGCGUAUGAGGACCCACUCUGCAUGUGGCCCUGGACUAAAUGCUCUCUGUCCAUCAUCUCAGUACCGUGAAGCAGGUAUGAUUGGGCAUCACGUUGCAUUGAGUUGUCCUGUGUUCUCAGUCUCCUCAAGUCUGUCUUCUUAGUCUUUCUUGUGUUUCACAACCUUGGCAGUUUUGAAAAGUACUGGUCAGGUAUUUGUAGAAUGUGUGAUGCAUUUUUUAAGGAUUAUUUUAAAAGAUGUUUAUUAAAUAAAAAAUAAUAAUGAAGAAAGAGAGAGGAACAAAGAGAAAAAGAGAUGUGAAAAGAAAGAGAAAGGAAGGAAGGAGAGAAGGAAGAGAGGGUGAGAAUAAGUGAAAGAAGAGAAAAAGGAAUGAAAGACUGAGGUUUCUGUCAAAAGAAAACUUUGCUUGAGGCAACAGUGGAGAUGUCCUUUAAGAAAGCUAGGAUGACGCCAGCCUGACUCAACAGCUCUUUUUUCUGGGCUGGUCUGAACUGGUCUGAACAAUUAAGAAUUGUGUCUGUGAGGUGACAAAGAGGGCUCCUUGCAACUCCAGCUUUUAUGGUUCCUGGUGCCCACAAUCUCAAAAGCAGAGAAGGCCACUUUUCUGAUGGUUUUAGCUAAAAUCCUGGGGAUGGCUCUUAUUGGCUGGGCUUGGGUCACAUGCCCAGCCCUGAACCAAUGACUAUGGCCAUGGAGAUAUGAAUUCUCAUUGGCCAGCCAGGGAUAUGCCUGCCCCUAACUGCUAAUGGAGGAGGCUGCUCUCAGCCGCUGCAGAGUUAGCAGAAAUACAGGAGACCAGGCUCCUUCCAGCCCUUCUCUCCUGACUCACCCCCUGCUUCUUUCUUCUAUGCAUCCUGCGGUCCAGCUAAGUUGCACCACUGGUCCAUGAUUUCCUGCCUCUUGGUCUUUUGCUCAGCCUUGCCCCUGCCAGGGUUGCUCUCCUUGCUCUCUGCAUAACCAAUAAUUAGCCACCCUUGAAGUCCCAGCUCAAAUGCUGCUGGCUGGGCAGAUGUCUUUGAGUUAUAGCUUUGGGUGAUUAUGUUUCAACUCUUGACCCAAGCUGAAAGCUUUAUGAAGGUGGAGGGCAUCCAGCUCAUCCAGAAAUUUUCUGAGGAAGGAAAAACAGCACCUUUCUGAGGCCAGAGAAGAGCUAUGGCCUCUUCAGGGCACUCAGCCAGUCUCUGGCAGAAAGAUAUCGUGCACAUUUCCAAGGAAGGGGUGCUCUGUAGGAGAUGCCAGUCCCUGACUCCCUUGGACUUGGGUGAGAAUCUCAGCCCUGCCGCUCCUCAGCCGGGCCAGCAGUUAUUUUUCCCCUCUCUGUGCCUCACUUUGCUCUUCUGUAAAAUGGUGAUAACAAGAGUGCCUACGUAUCUCACAGGGCAGUGGUGACUGUUUACUGAAAUAAUGCAUGUAAGAUAUUUCAGUCCGUGUAGAUUCAAGAAAACAAUUUAAAAUGGUCUGUUGGGGCUUCCCUGGUGGCGCAGUGGUUGAGAGUCCGCCUACCGAUGCAGGGGACAUGAGUUCAUGCCCCGGUCCGGGAAGAUCCCACAUGCCGCGGAACAGCUAAUCCUGUGCGCCACAACUACUGAGCCUGUGCUCUAGAGCCCACGUAGCACAACUACUGAGCCCGCGUGCCACAACUACUGAAGCCCGCGCACCUAGACCCCGUGCUCCGCAGCAAGAGAAGCCACCACAAUGAGAAGCCCACGCACUGCAACCCAGAGUAGCCCCUGCUUGCCUCAACUAGAGAAAGCCCAAGCUCAGCAAUGAAGACCCAACGCAGCACGCCCCCGCCCCCCAAAAAAUGGCCUGUCUUGGACUUCCCUGGCCGUCCAGUGGUUAAGACUCUGUGCUUCCAAUGCAGGGGGUGCAGGUUCGAUCCCUGGUUAGGGAGCUAGGAUCCCACAUACUGCAGAGCGUGGCAAAAAAAAAAAAAAAAAAAAAAAAAAGCCUGUCUUGUUUGCAGUGUUCGCCACUAUAGGGGAAAAAGCCUGAAGAGUAAUGGCCAAUAAAAACUACAAAUGUUGGGUCAUAGAUUGAAAACUAUAUAUUAAGCUGAUGCUGUUUUUUAUUGUUACACUUCACGCCCUUGGGAGGAAAUCUGAGGAAGGUCCUAGAAACUUGUUUUUGAGGCAUGAUGAGAGGUUUGGAAGAAAGGUGUUAUGCAAAUCUCAACAGAAUUAUCAGUAAAUACUGCAAAUAUAAAAGCCUGGAGGGACUUCCCUGGUGGUCCAGUGGUUAAGACUCCACGCUUCCAACGCAGGGGACGCAGGUUCGAUUCCUGGUCGGGGAACUAAGAUCCCACAUGCCACGUGUGGCAUAGCCAAAAAAAAAAAAAAAAAAAAAGCCUGGAGCCAU